rnacentral:rRNA from 1 species
UACGAGGGGUGCAAGCGUUGCUCGGAAUUAUUGGGCGUAAAGGGUAGGUAGGUGGUCUCAUUUGUCCGGGGUGAAAGCCUUGAGCUUAACUCAAGAAGUGCCUCGGAAACGGUGAGACUAGAGUCUUGGAGAGGGUCGUGGAAUUCCCGGUGUAGCGGUGAAAUGCGUAGAGAUCGGGAGGAACACCUGUGGCGAAAGCGGCGCACUGGACCACAUCUGACGCUGAGGCGCGAAAGCUAGGGGAGCAAACAGG